UUUCACAAAAUCUUCCUUCAAUUGGUAUCAGAGCCUAGGUCUAGUAGUUGGUGAAUCCUUUUGGGUUUUGUAGUUCAUAGUUUUGAUUUAAAAGUUGAAUAUGUUACAAGCUUUAUUCUUGUUUCUUUGAAUGGAAAUUUUGUUAGAAAAUUUGCCAUCUCAAAUGUUGUAGAUGUAGUUAAUAUGAGCAUGAACAUUGGAGCUAAAAUUUGGUGCCAAGAUUUUUGGGAUUUUCGGCCAAAUACAUAGGGUGAAAUUUUGGGUUCUUGUUUGACUUGUUAAAAGUGUUUUCAAGUGACUUUUGGAACCCCUAUGUACCCUAGUUUGGUUAUAUGUUAUUUCCCUAAAGUUUGAAUGGUUUUGGGAUGUUUUUGGAUGAAAAAUGUUCAUGGAAAUUUUUGGGUUUUUCAUGAAUGUUCUUCAUUGUUCUUGACAUUUUUGCCAAGAACAAAAAGUAUUGUGUUUUGAUUUAUUUCAUAAAGUUUAUGUUUUAUGAUUUUCAAAUGUUUAAAUGUUU
rnacentral:lncRNA from 1 species